CCUACGGGAGGCUGCAGUGGGGGAUAUUGCACAAUGGGGGGAACCCUGAUGCAGCGACGCCGCGUGGGUGAAGAAGCGCCUCGGCGCGUAAAGCCCUGUCAGCAGGGAAGAAAAUGACGGUACCCAAAGAGGAAGCUCCGGCUAACUACGUGCCAGCAGCCGCGGUAAUACGUAGGGAGCGAGAGUUGUCCGGAAUUACUGGGUGAAAAGGGAGCGUAGGCGGGCGAGAAAGUUGAAUGUUAAAUCUACCGGCUUAACUGGUAGCUGCGUUCAAAACUUCUUGUCUUGAGUGAAGAUGAGGCAGGCGGAAUUCCUAGUGUAGCGGUGAAAUGCGUAGAUAUUAGGAGGAACACCAGUGGCGAAGGCGGCCUGCUGGGCUUUAACUGACGCUGAGGCUCGAAAGCGUGGGGAGCAAACAGGAUUAGAUACCCUAGUAGUC
rnacentral:rRNA from 1 species